rnacentral:misc_RNA from 1 species
UUUUGUUUAGGUAUUAUUUUACAAUGGAAAUCUGAAUUUUUAGUCGCUAUUCAAUUCAUCUUCCAUUAUAUGUCUAGAAAGGAGCUAAAAUGAUAGAGUUGUCACAUUUUUUGUUAUCGUAGCGAUAUGAGUCGAGUUUGUCGGAGUUACGUUUCUUUAAAAGCAUGUUCGUUGAUCCGUGUGUGUUCAUGCUUUCAUUUGUCAUUGUUUUGGUCUCUAAGUUACGACUAAGAAUGUAUUUAUUUCCAUUUUUUUUCUAAAUUGCGAUUUGGGUUAGCGUUAUUUAAAUAACUUUUAAAAUUCCGUUCAUCCCUUCCUUUCUCCUUACUGGAAGUUGUGAAGAUUUGGAAAUUUGCACCCUUUUUUACAUGUUUACAGAUUUAAGACUUUGUCCUUAGGCAGAUUCGUUAUAUUCAUAUUGUAUCCGCAUAUUUUCGUGUUUAUUAAAAGUACUAUAUGUUUGUUUCCAUUUCGCUUUAUGUGAUAGCUAUUGAUCGGUCCUUCCAUUUCCUCAAACUGGUCCUUUAUUUGCUAGUAUGUAAUUUCCUAUAGCUAUUAACUUUUAAGUUUUGAAACUUGUCCAAACAAAGUGAUCCUAUAAAUGUGUGACACUACCAUGAUGCAGAACAUCUUUUUUUACUUUUAGCCUUAUUUAAUUUAUUUAUUCCUUUCCUUCUUCUUAUCUUUCCCUUUCUUCAUCUAACAUUAUUCUUUAUGUCAUAAAAUAUUGCUAAUCAUUUGCCUUGGA